GGCCAACAAGCGUAAUAACAACUGGUUACCUCCUCCAUGGGCAAUACUUGCUUUGAUUAUUCUCGGAUUUAAAGAAUUUAUAACACUCUUAAGAUAUCCAUUGUAUUUGCUUGUCAUCUUUAUUGGUUAUCUUCUCAUCAAAGCCCUAUGAGUGCAACUGGACAUUGUGGGUGAAUUUCGCCAUGGAGCUGAGAGUAUAAUUCCUCGUUGUCAUAUAUUGUUCAAUUCAUUAAUCAUAAUUAUAAUUAUUUGGUCUAUUCACCACCUUGGUUACUGAGUUUUGGAUCACAUACACACGUGACACGUCAGUAGCAUCAAGCUGGGGAUUCCAUAAAUAGUCCUUUAGUUGAGCUACUGCCUACCAGCUCUUAUUAAAUGUUCACUAGGUAUUUAACCAUCUAUAUAAAAGCCUUAUUUCGUACUUGUUUACUUUCAACUGCCGGGACUCUUAUCCUUGUCUACCAAAUUCGUUCCAACUGUCAUGAACCUUAUGAAAAAACUAGCAGACGAGGGUGUAGAUAACAAUACUCGCAGAAAUCCACCAAAAGGCGACUAAGUUAAUAUAUUCAAUUGCAUAAGAAGGCAGCGAUGGAUUUUUUUGCAGGUUUGUGGUCUUUGCGUGCUGCAGGAAGUUGGGGAGACCGAGUUAGUGUUUCAGAUUGUCAAUUACUCAUAUUUUAUAUACUGUGUAUCACUUUUCCUUUUCUUUUUUAUAUAGAAUAUUCAUAGAGUUUAAGUGCUAUAAGUAUUUUUUUCUCAUUUUAUUUGCAUCACGAAACAAACUUGUACAAUGAUUAUUGAUUAAUGAAAGUCUAUAAAAAUUUCAUUUUUUGAA